rnacentral:rRNA from 1 species
AGAGUUUGAUCCUGGCUCAGGACGAACGCUGGCGGGUUAACACAUGCAAGUCGAACGAGGUGCUUGCACUAGUGGCGAACGGGUGAGUAACACGUGAGCAACCUGCCCUUGGCUCUGGGAUAGCCUCCGGAAACGGGGAUUAAUACCGGACAUGACCUGCUGCCGCAUGGCGGCGGGUGGAAAGUUUUUCGGCCAGGGAGGGGCUCGCGGCCUAUCAGCUUGUUGGGGGGGUAACGGCCCACCAAGGCGACGACGGGUAGCCGGCCUGAGAGGGCGACCGGCCACACUGGGACUGAGACACGGCCCAGACUCCUACGGGAGGCAGCAGUGGGGAAUAUUGCACAAUGGGGGAAACCCUGAUGCAGCGACGCCGCGUGCGGGAUGAAGGCCUUCGGGUUGUAAACCGCUUUCAGCAGGGGCGAAUUCAGACGGUACCUGCAGAAGAAGCGCCGGCUAACUACGUGCCAGCAGCCGCGGUAAUACGUAGGGCGCAAGCGUUGUCCGGAAUUAUUGGGCGUAAAGAGCUCGUAGGCGGCCUGUUGCGUCCGCUGUGAAAUCCCAGGGCUUAACCCUGGGUCUGCAGUGGAUACGGGCAGGCUAGAGGCAGGCAGGGGAGAACGGAAUUCCCGGUGUAGCGGUGAAAUGCGCAGAUAUCGGGAGGAACACCGGUGGCGAAGGCGGUUCUCUGGGCCUGUUCUGACGCUGAGGACGAAAGCGUGGGGAGCAAACAGGAUUAGAUACCCNNGUAGUCC